rnacentral:rRNA from 1 species
AACGAACGCUGGCGGCAGGCCUAACACAUGCAAGUCGAACGCCGUAGCAAUACGGAGUGGCAGACGGGUGAGUUACGCGUGGGAACCUUCCCAAUGGUACGGAAUAGCUCAGGGAAACCUGGGGUAAUACCGUAUACGCCCUUCGGGGGAAAGAUUUAUCGCCAUUGGAUGGGCCCGCGUCGGAUUAGCUAGUUGGUGGGGUAAUGGCCUACCAAGGCGACGAUCCGUAGCUGGUCUGAGAGGAUGAUCAGCCACACUGGGACUGAGACACGGCCCAGACUCCUACGGGAGGCAGCAGUGGGGAAUAUUGGACAAUGGGCGCAAGCCUGAUCCAGCCAUGCCGCGUGAGUGACGAAGGCCUUAGGGUUGUAAAGCUCUUUUGGCGGGGAAGAUAAUGACGGUACCCGCAGAAUAAGUCCCGGCUAACUUCGUGCCAGCAGCCGCGGUAACAC